GAUGAUUAUGAAGUUGGUAAUUGAGGGGUUAAAGAUGAAUGUCAUCACUGCAUAUGCCCCAUAGGUAGGUUGUAAGAUGGAGAAAUAUGAUUUCUGGAGUGAGUUAUAUGAGGUGGAAGAGAGUGUACCCAAACAUGAACGAUUGGUGAUUUGAGCGUACUUCAAUGU